rnacentral:rRNA from 1 species
CGGUUGAUCCUGCCGGACCUGACUGCUAUCGGAUUGAUACUAAGCCAUGCGAGUCAUUGUAGCAAUACAAGGCAUACGGCUCAGUAACGCGUAGUCAACCUAACCUAUGGACGGGAAUAACCUCGGGAAACUGAGAAUAAUGCCCGAUAGAACACUAUACCUGGAAUGGUUUGUGUUCCAAAUGAUUUAUCGCCGUAGGAUGGGACUGCGGCCUAUCAGUUUGUUGGUGAGGUAAUGGCCCACCAAGACUAUUACAGGUACGGGCUCUGAGAGGAGUAGCCCGGAGAUGGGUACUGAGACACGGACCCAGGCCCUAUGGGGCGCAGCAGGCGAGAAAACUUUGCAAUGUGCGAAAGCACGACGAGGUUAAUCCGAGUGAUUUGUGCUAAACGAAUCUUUUGUUAGUCCUAGAACCACUAACGAAUAAGGGGUGGGCAAGUUCUGGUGUCAGCCGCCGCGGUAAAACCAGCACCUCAAGUGGUCAGGAUGAUUAUUGGGCCUAAAGCAUCCGUAGCCGGCUCUGUAAGUUUUCGGUUAAAUCGGUACGCUUAACGUACAGGCUGCCGGGAAUACUGCAGAGCUAGGGAGUGGGAGAGGUAGACGGUACCCGGUAGGAAGGGGUAAAAUCCUUUGAUCUAUUGAUGACCACCUGUGGCGAAGGCGGUCUACC